rnacentral:rRNA from 1 species
GACGGAGGGUGCAAGCGUUUGUUCGGAAUUACUGGGCGUAAAGCGCGGGCAGGUGGCCUUUUAAGUCCUUUGUGAAAUUCCGGAGCUCAACUCCGGAUGUGCAUAGGAUACUGGAAGGCUAGAGACUGGUAGGGGCGAGUGGAAUUCCUGGUGUAGCGGUGAAAUGCGCAGAUAUCAGGAGGAACACCAAUGGCGAAGGCAGCUCGCUGGGACGGUAUGACACUGAGACGCGAAAGCGUGGGGAGC